UGUCAUUUGUGUGUGGGUGGGUCCAUUAAAUGUGGAGAGAAAGAAAGAAGUUUGAGAAUAUAUAUACUCAUCAAACACACAGCCACAGAGAGUACUAGUUCAUUAAUGGUGAAAAAAAUCUUUGAAAGUGUUGACGUCGGACAUAGUAGUCCAUAUCUAUGUUUGACCGUUAGUCCCUAGGACGGAAAAGUGACCUGGUCACUUAAAUUGACACAUGGCUGAUCCACGUGGCAGCCAUGUAAUAUAUAAUAAUAAUAAAUAUUAAAAAAAAAAACUAACCCUAAAUUACUCUUCAUCAUCUCACCGUCUUCAUCAUCUCAUCAACACCACACCAGAACCAACAUGAAUCAGCACCACCAUCUCCCUUCGCCGUCAAGCCCGAUCAUUCCACCAUCGCUUCCCCUCCAUCCAAAUCGCACCACCACUGUAUCUCCCCUCCUCCUGGAUCACGCCGCGUAGCCACUACCUCUCCCUGGCCUAAUCGCGCCGCCACCUUCAUCACCACGACCUUAAUCGCGCUCAGCCACCCCCUCUCUUCCCAAAUCAAUCCCCUUCACCACCGAUCUGAAGUUUUUCUCACCAAACACUGAAAACUCAACAGAUCAGGUGCGGUAUUCUGAUUUCAUCACAUCGGUUUCCUCUUCAUGAAAUCGACUAGGAGGUGAGAUCCAGUAAGGAUUUCGACCUAGCGGCAUGAUGUAUCGGAUCUGGUACAGGUGCAAGCUUGUUGGUUUCUGGGGAUUUCUGGGUAUUUUGAAGUUGUUGGUUGUUGAAGGUCUGCUCCUCCAUUCUUUGGAUCUGGUACAGAAGAAAGAUCACGAGUUGAAGAGAGGGUUAGGGUUUGUUAUAUUGUUCUAGUACAGAAGAAAUACCCAGAAGUGACUCCUUUCUCUUUCUGCGGUUUGGAUCUCCAUUUUAUGCUAAAGUUUGGAACUUUGGAACUCUGAAUAUGGAUUGCCCUUGGUGUUUUUGGUCUCUGUGCUGCGUUAAGCUAUUUGAAGAUAACUUUGAUAGGGGGCUACUUGGGCAUAUGAGUUUGGCUCACAAUCAAUGGUUUGAGGAUCUUAAUCCUCCUCGUCAGAUGCUAGUGGAGAUGCUUUGUGAGGAACGGGGUUUCUUUCUGGAAAUGGGUUUAGUUUUUGUUAGAUGGUGGGUGCAUUUUUCUGGGUUAUGAAGAUGGAUGAUAGUGCAAUUGGGGUUUCAUCUUGUGUUAUAUUCUGGUUUGGAUUUGAGAUGAAAGUUUCAUCUGGGUUUGGGUUUUGUGUUUCACGUUGAAAGAUCUUGCUCUUUCAUGGACAAGAAUAUCAUAAAACCAUUCAAAGUUUCAUCUUUAAAUAAUGCAUACAUGUUAAUCA